rnacentral:rRNA from 1 species
GAACACCGGUGGCGAAGGCGGCUUUCUGGACAGUAACUGACACUGAGGCACGAAAGCGUGGGGAGCAAACAGGAUUAGAUACCCUGGUAGUCCACGCCGUAAACGAUGAGCACUAGUUGUUGGGUCCGAACGGAUUCAGUGACGCAGUUAACGCAAUAAGUGCUCCGCCUGAGGAGUACGGUGGCAACACUAAAACUCAAAGGAAUUGACGGGGACCCGCACGAGCAGCGGAGCAUGUGGUUUAAUUCGAAGCAACGCGAAAAACCUUACCAGGGCUUGACAUCCUCCUGACCGGUCCUUAACCGGACCUUUCUUCGGACAGGAGUGACAGGUGGUGCAUGGUUGUCGUCAGCUCGUGUCGUGAGAUGUUGGGUUAAGUCCCGCAACGAGCGCAACCCUUGUCGUCAGUUACUAACAUUCAGUUGAGGACUCUGACGAGACUGCCGAGGUCAACUCGGAGGAAGGUGGGGAUGACGUCAAAUCAUCAUGCCCCUUAUGUUCUGGGCUACACACGUGCUACAAUGGUCGGUACAAUGAGAAGCAAGAUGGUGACAUGGAGCAAAUCACCAAAACCGAUCCCAGUUCGGAUUGCAGGCUGCAACUCGCCUGCAUGAAGUCG